AACGCUAGCUACAGGCUUAACACAUGCAAGUCGAGGGGCAGCAUGAUUGAAGCUUGCUUCAAUUGGUGGCGACCGGCGCACGGGUGAGUAACACGUAUCCAACCUUCCGUACACUCAGGGAUAGCCUUUCGAAAGAAAGAUUAAUACCUGAUGGUAUCUUAAGCACACAUGUAAUUAAGAUUAAAGAUUUAUCGGUGUACGAUGGGGAUGCGUUCCAUUAGGUAGUAGGCGGGGUAACGGCCCACCUAGCCUACGAUGGAUAGGGGUUCUGAGAGGAAGGUCCCCCACAUUGGAACUGAGACACGGUCCAAACUCCUACGGGAGGCAGCAGUGAGGAAUAUUGGUCAAUGGACGAGAGUCUGAACCAGCCAAGUAGCGUGAAGGAUGAAGGUCCUACGGAUUGUAAACUUCUUUUAUAAGGGAAUAAAACCUCCCACGUGUGGGAGCUUGUAUGUACCUUAUGAAUAAGCAUCGGCUAACUCCGUGCCAGCAGCCGCGGUAAUACGGAGGAUGCGAGCGUUAUCCGGAUUUAUUGGGUUUAAAGGGAGCGCAGACGGGUCGUUAAGUCAGCUGUGAAAGUUUGGGGCUCAACCUUAAAAUUGCAGUUGAUACUGGCGUCCUUGAGUGCGGUUGAGGUGUGCGGAAUUCGUGGUGUAGCGGUGAAAUGCUUAGAUAUCACGAAGAACUCCGAUUG
rnacentral:rRNA from 1 species